rnacentral:rRNA from 1 species
GUAGGUGGCAAGCGUUGUCCGGAAUUAUUGGGCGUAAAGCGCGCGCAGGCGGUUCUUUAAGUCUGAUGUGAAAGCCCACGGCUCAACCGUGGAGGGUCAUUGGAAUCUGGAGAACUUGAGUACAGAAGAGGAAAGCGGAAUUCCACGUGUAGCGGUGAAAUGCGUAGAGAUGUGGAGGAACACCAGUGGCGAAGGCGGCUUUCUGGUCUGUAACUGACGCUGAGGCGCGAAAGCGUGGGGGAGCAAACAGGAUUAGAUACCCUGGUAGUCCACGCCGUAAACGAUGAGUGCUAAGUGUUAGGGGGUUUCCGCCCCUUAGUGCUGCAGCUAACGCAUUAAGCACUCCGCCUGGGAGUACGGCCGCAAGGCUG